rnacentral:rRNA from 1 species
UACGGAAGGCAGCAGUGGGGAAUAUUGCACAAUGGGCGAAAGCCUGAUGCAGCUAUGCCGCGUGUAUGAAGAAGGCCUUAGGGUUGUAAAGUACUUUCAUCGGGGAGGAAAAACAAAACUAAUAAUUUUAUUUCUUGACGUUACCCGAAAAAGAAGCACCGGCUAACUCCGUGCCAGCAGCCGCGGUAAUACGGAGGGUGCUAGCGUUAAUCAGAAUUACUGGGCGUAAAGAGCACGUAGGUGGUUUUUUUAAGUCAGAUGUGAAAUCCCUGGACUUAACCUAGGAACUGCAUUUUGAAACUGAAAUACUAGAGUAUCGUAGAGGGAGGUAGAAUUCUAGGUGUAGCGGUGAAAUGCGUAGAUAUCUGGAGGAAUACCUGUGGCGAAAGCGGCCUCCUAAACGAAUACUGACACUGAGGUGCGAAAGCGUGGGGAGCAAACGAGGGAUUAGAUA